AAAUGUUUUGAACUAUAUUAUCUAUGAAAAUGUUGUUAUUAUUAUUAUUAUUAUAUUUGUAUUUUAGUAAAAAAAUGUCUAAAAUGUAUUGAAUGUCCCCAAAAAAAAUUUUAGUAAAUGUUUUGAACGAUAUUAUCUAUGAAAAUAUUGUUAUUAUUAUUAUUAUAUUUAUAUUUUAGUAAAAAAUAUCUAAAAUGUAUUGAAUGCCCCCAAAAAAAAAAUUUCGGGGCCUACCAACCCCCGUAACAGUUCAGCCCCCCCAAAAAAAAUCCUGGCUCCGCCACUGGCUCCCAUCCUCAAUCAUCUCCACCAACGUCAUGAUCCCGCCUUCUUCAAUCGCAUCUUGCCUUAUCUCAAUCGCCGCCAAGCUUCUCAAAACAACCAUCGUCUUCUCCACCAAUCCAAUCCCGUGUUUAGGCACUACCAGCCCCACCAACUGAUAUAGAUAGACAACAGUAUCAAAUGAAUAUGUAUUAUAUUAGCAUGAAAAGGCAUUAACAAAAAUAGCAGUUCAUAGCUGAAGGCAACUGUUCUAGCUGAGCUACACUCUACACAAAUAGUCGCAACAAACACAUCUCAUAACCUUUUAGGGAUUGUCAUCGUUUGCAGCUAUGUUUGAUUAAGUGUUGUUCGAUGUCUUGCAUUUGUGGCAGGUUAAUGGUAACAAACAGAGAGAAACCUUAAUAUGACAAAAGAAAUUCGCAUAGUAACUAAAAUCAAUAGAUAUUUUUGUGAGACGUAACUCAUACCUUAGAUCCCUCUUCCUAACUCAAUCUUGAAUUACAACUGACUACUUUACCUUCUUCUUUCUUAUGUUUCUCGAGCAGUUAAGCGCCUCUAUUGUUGGAACUAUUGUUGGAGAAGUGCCGAUGACUCAGUGGAGAUGCGGCGGGCCAGCCAUUGGUGGCGGUCGGCAAAGAGAAACUGACAGAGGGAUUGCGACAGCAACGACGAGAAACCGGCGCCGAAUAGGUUCGAGGAGAAGGUUAAAGAAAGGGAAUAGAAGGAAGGGGCGAUGGUGCCGACUUCGGUACAUCGCAGACCAACCGUACUGGAGGGUGGGGCGGCGGCACCGACUUAAGGCCGGAGUGCGGCGUAUCAUAGACCGGAAGGGGGCGGCGGCUCCAUCUUGAAGCCGGAGUACGUCGAAUUGCGGCCGGGAUGGGAGAGUUGGAUGUGAGAGACUGGGGGGAGAUGAAUUGGUUUUAGGGUUAGGGAAUUGGGGCAGAGAAACAUUGAUUUUGCG
rnacentral:lncRNA from 1 species